rnacentral:rRNA from 1 species
GAUGAACGCUGGCGGCGUGCCUAAUACAUGCAAGUCGAGCGAUCAGACGAGGAGCUUGCUCCUCUGACGUUAGCGGCGGACGGGUGAGUAACACGUGGAUAACCUACCUUUAAGACUGGGAUAACUUCGGGAAACCGGAGCUAAUACCGGAUAAUAUAUUGAACCGCAUGGUUCAUUAGUGAAAGACGGUUUUGCUGUCACUCAUAGAUGGAUCCGCGCGGCAUUAGCUAGUUGGUAAGGUAACGGCUUACCAAGGCACCGAUGCGUGGCCAACGUGAGAGGGUGAUAGGCAACAUGGGAACUGGAACAGGGUCCAGCCUCCUACGGGAGGCACCAGUAGGAAAUCUUCGGCAAUGGGGGAAAGCCUGACGGAGCAAGGCCGCGUGAGUGAUGAAGGUCUUCGGAUCGUAAAACUCUGUUAUUAGGGAAGAACAGAUGUGGAAGUAAAUAUGCACGUCUUGACGGUACCUAAUCAGAAAGCGACGGCUAACUACGUG